rnacentral:rRNA from 1 species
CACAAUGGGACUGAAACACGGCCCAUACUCCUACGGGAGGCAGCAGCAGGGAAUAUUGCACAAUAGGCGACAGCCUGAUGCAGCGAACGCCGCGUUGAGUGAAGAAGGCCUUCGGGUCGUAAAGCUCUUUUGUAGGGGAAGAGGAAGGACGGUACCCUAAGAAGAAGCGUCGGCUAACUACGUGCCAGCAGCCGCGGUAAGACGUAGGACGCGAGCGUUAUCCGGGAUUACUGGGCGUAAAGGGCCAGCAGGCGGCUUGGUAAGUUGUGCGUGAAAGCCUCGUGCUCAACGCGAGGAAGCCGGACAAUACUGUCAAGCUAGAGGGCAUCAGAGGGGAGUGGAAUUCCCGGAGUAGCGGUAAAAUGCGCAGAUAUCGGGAGGAACACCGAUGGCGAAGGCAGCUCCCUGGGAUGCACCUGACGCUAAGAGGCGAAAGCUAGGGGAGCGAACAGGAUUAGAGACCCUGGUAGUCCUAGCUGUAAACGCUGGGUGCUAGGUGUGGGACGUAGAAGUUCCGUGCCGGAGCAAACGCGAUAAGCACCCCGCCUGGGAAUUACGGUCGCAAGGCUAAAACUCAAACGAAUUGACGGGGCCCCGCACAAGCAGCGGAGCGUGUGGUUCAAUUCGAUGCUACACGAAGAACCUUACCUGGGUUUGACAUGUACGUGGUACGAAGGCGAAAGCCUAAGGACCCUUCGGGGAGCGUACACAGGUGCUGCAUGGCUGUCGUCAGCUCGUGCCGUGAGGUGUCGGGUUAAGUCCCGUAACGAGCGCAACCCUUGCCCUUAGUUACAAGUGUCUAAGGGGACUGCCGGCGGGAAGCCGGAGGAAGGUGGGGAUGACGUCAAGUCAGCAUGGCCCUUAUGUCCAGGGCUACACACACGCUACAAUGGUCAGUACAAAGGGUAGCGAAGUCGCGAGGCGGAGCGAAUCUCAACAAAGCUGAUCGUAGUUCGGAUUGCAGGCUGCAACCCGCCUGCAUGAAGCUGGAGUUGCUAGUAACCGCGCGUCAGCCAUAGUGCGGUGAAUACGUACCCGGGGCUUGUACACACCGCCCGUCACGUCAUGGGAGUCGGUAACGCCUGAAGCCGGUAUACUGGCCCGCAAGGGGGGACGCUGUCGAAGGCGGGAC